rnacentral:lncRNA from 1 species
ACACAGGGCUCACCUCCAGCUUUGAGUCAGCUGCCUACCCAGGCUGGUUCCUCUGCACUGUGCCGGAAGCAGACCAGCCUCUCAGACUCACCCAACUCUCAGAGGAUGCCAGCUGGGACAGCCCCAUCACGGACUUCUACUUCCAGCAGUGUGACUAGGGCAAUGUGCCCCCGGAACUCCCUGGGCAGAGCCAGCUCAGGCAGGGGUGAAGGUGGAAGAGGACACUGAUGGCAGCCACCCCCUCUGCUCUCAGGGACCCCACCUCUGGCUGCGCAUUUGGCCACUCUCCCUUUUGGUUCCCAGUUUGGGUGAAUUCUUUUGCGAUUCGGGGCUUAGGCCACAGUUUCUUUCCCUGUUGGGUGCUGCUGCUCUCGUGGCACCUUGCAAAAACCAUAUGAGAUGAACUGGGAGUCACAUAAAAAGGUUCCUUACGGGUCAGGGUGCAGGGAGUGGUAGAAAUCCUUCAUGCUUUAUGGUAACUCAGCCAGUACCCCUGAGCCCACAGGGCAGCCCAUCCCAGUUGAGCCUAUUAGGGCCACUAGCUGCCCACAUGAGGUCCUUUCGUGCACCACUGUGCAGGAGAGGGAGGUCAUAGAGUUAGGGGCACAAGGCCCAGCCCCUUCCCUCUUCCCUUUAACUCAGCUGACAUUGUAUGCUAUUUUUUUCCAUCCUAUCCUUGUGCUCUAGCCAUGGCAGGAGAGGGUGGUGGUGUGUGAGGAAGUGGCUCCAGCUCAGAAGACUGAAGAAUGGCCAGGCAGGCAUGUCAUACAUUCUGAGACCCGAGAUACCAUUAAAAUCCAAGAUGCUGGUGUCCACUCACAUGGAAAGAUUCUUACGACGUAUUAAGUAAGGAGAGCAAAUUACAAAGUCGCAUAUCCUAUAAUUUCAUUUUAAUUAAAAAAAAUGCCUAUCUAUAUAUUUCUGCAUAGAAAAAAGUCUGUAAGAGUUUCCUUCGAUUUUAGCAAUGUCGGAGUGGUGGUAUCACAGUUGAUUCUUCUUUUUGUUCUUUUAUUUAUUUGCAUUUUUCUAAUUGUUAUACAAUGAAGAUGGAUUCCUUGUGUAAUAAGUAAGUUAACCUUGAGGAAAACAGAGCAGACAGUAUUUCUGAUGGUCCUCCGCAUCCACUUCCUUGAGUAAAAUUCAUGUUGAAUUAAGAUCUGCUGCUCUGAGCAGCAGUAGUGAGAAUGAGAAAACAGACCUCAACAGAGCUGCCAAGAAAAAGCAUAUGAUGGGUUAGUUAGUGUGGUUGGAAUCUCCCGGAGAAGGAAUUUACAGAAAGAACCAUCCUGGACCUGGAGUGGUCACAACUCCCUGAGAUUUCAGAGUGUGGGUUUCAGCCUCCAAAGGGACCUGUGCUGGUUGAAUAGUGUUCCCCCCGGAUUCGUGUCCUUCUGGGAACCUUAGACCAUGACCUUAUUUGGAAAUGGGUUCUUCGCAGAUGCAAUUAGUCAAGAGGUCAUGUUGUAUUGGGGGAGGGGGGCGGCACGCUCUAAAUCCAACACGGCUGGUAUCCUUGCAAGAAGAGGAAAGGACAAACAGAGACCCAGAGGAGACCCAGGAAGAAGGCCAUGUGAAGAUGGAGCCUGAGAUUGCCCUCAUGCAGCAGUAAGGCAAGAAAUGCCAUGACUGAGGCAAUCACCAGAAGUGAGGAAGAGGCAAAGAAGAAUUCUUUCCAAACCCUUCAGAAGGAGUAUGGCUCUCUAGUCUCCUGAACUGUGAGAGAACAAAUUUUUGUUGCUUUAAACCACCAACUUUGUGGGGAUUGGUUGUGGCAGCCCUAUGAAUUAACACAGCUGCCGAUGACCCCAUCUCACAGUGUGUGUGUCCCCUCCCACAUUGUACCCACGUUGUCUCUGUGACCAACAGAACAUGGCAGGAAUAAUACUAUGCCAUUUCUGAGAUUUGGUUAUAAAAGACUGUAGGUUUUAUCUUGUUUUCUCUGUUUCUUUGUUCACUUGCUCUGGGGGGAAGUUAGCUGCCAUGGCAUAAGCAGCUCUGUAGAGAAACCCAUGUGUUGAAAAAUGAAGCCUCUUACCAACUGCCACAUGAGUGCAUUUGGAAGCAGCUCCCCCAGCCCCAGUCAGGCCUUCAGAUGAGGCGACCCUGGGGACAGCUUGACUGCCACCUCAGGAGAGACUCUGAAGCAGAACCACCUGGCUAAGCUGGUCUAGAUUCCCAAACCCCCAGAAACUGUGCUAGAAAAUACGUGUUUGUUGCUUUCAGUUGCUAAGUUUCAGGGUCACUAGUUACACAGCAAUAGAUAACUAAUACACAGGAAAGAGAAAUAAACACAUUUCUUUUAUUAUGAUUGUAAUUUUCUCCAGUAUUUUCAUUUUCCUUCUCAAAAUCAACACCGGCCCUUUAAUUUCCCCAACAUUCUACGUAAAAACUGAUCAUGCUAAAUAUGCUGAAUAGUCUCUGUUCCUGCAAGGUUUAGCUCCUCCUUGAUUACCUUCACACCUCUAGUUCUACAUGCCAGGGACUCUGACUCCAGCGUCCCUACCUAAACUCUGGGAGAUGAAAACAGAAGCCAGAGGAGAGGCUCAAAUCUGAGUCCCAGGGAUUCUGCCUGCACCUCACCAGUCAGACCAGCCUGGCAGGUUCAGACUCUGCUGAGGCACUAGUAAGGAGGUGGCCAGGCCGGAAGCCUCUGUCUCCGUGGAGCGGCUGAGACCCCGAUGUAGCUGAAGGUCUCGGGUAGCAGACAGCACAAGUGCCUCCAGAGACCUCUCAGGAGGGCCGAGAACACGGGCUCUGGGCACCAGGCUUGCUUCUGCAGACCUAGUUCACACUCUGUCUUUGCUCACAGGCCCAGCCAUACUCUCACCUUGUCUCCUCCUCCGAGAAGCCUUUGCUGAAUUGAGGCAUCUGGUCAUCUGCUCUGACUGUGCUACAUUGCUAUGUUAACUUCCCCU